rnacentral:rRNA from 1 species
AGCGUAGGCGGCGUGUAAGUCAGAUGUGAAAUCCCGGGGCUCAACCCCGGAACUGCAUCCGAUACUGCCGUGCUAGAGGAUUGGAGAGGUAGCUGGAAUUCACGGUGUAGCAGUGAAAUGCGUAGAUAUCGUGAGGAACACUCGUGGCGAAAGCGAGCUACUGGACAACUCCUGACGCUGAGGCUCGAAGGCCAGGGUAGCGAAAG